rnacentral:piRNA from 1 species
UCCAGAUGGUCCAGAUGAGUAAGGGU